CUCGACUGCACUGCACCCGUGGUAGGCCCGGUGUUAGAAAAUACAGGGUCGUAUAUAUAAUUGAAAUAGGAUUUCUAUUCACAGUAGGAGGCAGAGGGCGAAAGCUCGCAACAGAGAGACUGUGCAAGUGACAGUGAUGUUCUGCAGGGUAGCGCACCACCACAACCGCCACGACGUAAAAAAAAAAAGAA